rnacentral:misc_RNA from 1 species
UUGAGAAGGGUGAGGUGGCCAUG